AGUGUUUACUCACUUCAUCCGACCGUUCCUUUCCAGAAAAGAUUUGCCAGACCCAGGUUGUGUGUCCUCUGCCGAUGGUAGUCAACUCUGGCUGCAGGCCAACCUUGGCAAUUUCUCUGCUUUUGCAACCAUAGAGGAUUUGCAAACCUUCAAUCCAAACUUCUCCAGUGCCCAAGCCUUGUCAGAACUGUCACCCUCUCAGGUAGCACAGUUACUGCUGAGCUCAGACAUCUCAA